GAUGAACGCUGGCGGCGUGCCUAAUACAUGCAAGUAGAACGCUGAAGGAAGGAGCUUGCUCUUUCGGGAUGAGUUGCGAACGGGUGAGUAACGCGUAGGUAACCUGCCUGUUAGCGGGGGAUAACUAUUGGAAACGAUAGCUAAUACCGCAUAACAGUAGAUGUUGCAUGACUCCUAUGUGAAAGGGGCAAUUGCUCCACUACCAGGUGGACCUGCGUUGUAUUAGCUAGUUGGUGAGGUAACGGCCCACCAAAGCGAACGAACAUAGGCGGCCUGAGGAGGGGAUCGGGCAACAUGGGACCGGGACACGGCCCCGAAUUCCUAGGGGAGGAGCAGUAGGGGAUCCUUGGGAAUGGACGGAAGGCUGACCGGGGCACGCCGGGUGGGGGAAGAAGGGUUUUGGAUCGGAAAGAUCCGUUGAAAGGGAAGAACGAGUGUGGGAGUGGAAAGUUCACACUGUGACGGUAUCUAAUCAGAAAGGGACGGCUAACUACGUG
rnacentral:rRNA from 1 species